rnacentral:lncRNA from 1 species
UUUUUUUAUUUAUAAUGAAUUGGAGAUGGAGAAUUGGAUUUUGUAUCCUGAUCAUUCACUUUUAUAAAUGAAAGGAAUAUCACUAAACAAUACUCGAAUCAAUUAUAUAUUUGUUAGCAAAUACUAUAUAAGUAUACAUCAAAUUUGAGAAUUAAAUUAUAAUAUUUGCAUUUAUAUAUAAAGUUGGGUUAUAAUGAAAAUGAUGAUGCAUGUUAUAAAAAUUACACCAAUUAUUAGAU